AUUGAACGCUGGCGGCAUGCUUUACACAUGCAAGUCGAACGGUAACAGGCCGCAAGGUGCUGACGAGUGGCGAACGGGUGAGUAAUGCAUCGGAACGUGCCCAGUCGUGGGGGAUAACGCAGCGAAAGCUGUGCUAAUACCGCAUACGAUCUAUGGAUGAAAGCGGGGGACCGUAGGGCCUCGCGCGAUUGGAGCGGCCGAUGUCAGAUUAGGUAGUUGGUGGGGUAAAGGCUCACCAAGCCAACGAUCUGUAGCUGGUCUGAGAGGACGACCAGCCAAACUGGGACUGGGACACGGCCCAGACUCCUACGGGAGGCAGCAGUGGGGAAUUUUGGACAAUGGGCGCAAGCCUGAUCCAGCAAUGCCGCGUGCAGGAAGAAGGCCUUCGGGUUGUAAACUGCUUUUGUACGGAACGAAACGGCGAGCUCUAAUACAGUUUGCUAAUGACGGUACCGUAAGAAUAAGCACCGGCUAACUACGUGCCAGCCGCCGCCGUAA
rnacentral:rRNA from 1 species